CGGGAGGCAGCAGUGGGGAAUAUUGGACAAUGGGCGCAAGCCUGAUCCAGCCAUACCGCGUGUGUGAAGAAGGCCUUCGGGUUGUAAAGCACUUUAAGCAGGGAGAAAAAGUUAUAAGCUAAUACCUUAUAACCUUGAUGUUACCUGCAGAAUAAGCACCGGCUAAUUCCGUGCCAGCAGCCGCGGUAAUACGGAAGGUGCAAGCGUUAAUCGGAAUUACUGGGCGUAAAGCGCGCGUAGGUGGUUUGUUAAGUUGGAUGUGAAAGCCCUGGGCUCAACCUAGGAACUGCAUCCAAAACUAACUCACUAGAGUACGAUAGAGGGAGGUAGAAUUCAUAGUGUAGCGGUGGAAUGCGUAGAUAUUAUGAAGAAUACCAGUGGCGAAGGCGGCCUCCUGGAUCUGUACUGACACUGAGGUGCGAAAGCGUGGGUAGCGAACAGGAUUAGAUACCCUGGUAGUCCACGCCGUAAACGAUGUCAACUAUCUGUUGGAAAGCAUUGCUUUUCAGUGGAGCAGCUAACGUAAUAAGUUGACCGCCUGGGGAGUACGGCCGCAAGGCUAAAACUCAAAUGAAUUGACGGGGACCCGCACAAGCAGUGGAUCAUGUGGUUUAAUUCGAUGCAACGCGAAAAACCUUACCUACUCUUGACAUACUUGGAAGCUCUUGUAAUGAGAGUGUGCUUUUAAGAACCAAGAUACAGGUGCUGCAUGGCUGUCGUCAGCUCGUGUCGUGAGAUGUUCCGUUAAGUCGGAUAACGAGCGCAACCCUUACCCUUAUUUGCCAGCGAUUCGGUCGGGAACUAUAAGGGGACUGCCGGUGAUAAACCGGAGGAAGGUGAGGACGACGUCAAGUCAUCAUGGCCCUUACGAGUAGGGCUACACACGUGAUACAAUGGGAGAGACAGACGGACGCUAAGCCGCGAGGUGGUGCUAAUCCUAGAAACUCUCUCGUAGUCCGGAUUGGAGUCUGCAACUCGACUCCAUGAAGUUGGAAUUGCUAGUAAUCGCGGAUCAGCAUGCCGCGGUGAAUACGUUCUCGGGUCUUGUACACACCGCCCGUCACACCAUGGAAGUGGAUUGCACCAGAAGUAGAUAGUCUAACCUUAGGGAGGGCGUUUACCACGGUGUGCUUCAUGACUGGGGUAAAGUCGUAACAAGGUAGCCGUAGGGGAACCUGUGGCUG
rnacentral:rRNA from 1 species